UCAGGCUGUAACGAAAUACCAUGGACUGGGUGGCGGAUGCGUAGCAGAAAUGUAUUUCCCACAGUUCCGCGGGCUGGAAGCUGGGGAUCAGGGUAGCAGCGUGCUUGGGAUUAUAUAACCAUGCGUGGGCAUUUACUGUGGGAGGACACUAAGUUCAGAAACUAUGGAAUAUCCAUCGGCCAGACUUUCCUGGGCACCUGGCGUGUGCUCCACAUUGAACAGAGAGGGAAU